AUACCUUUCUCGGCCUUUUGGCUAAGAUCAAGUGUAGUAUCUGUUUUUAUCAGUUUGAUAUCAUAUAUGAUAUUGGGGUUCCACCCUCACAACGAUAUUAAAUUUAUUUUUUAUAGGGGAGAUCCUGCCGUGGUAGCUUGCUAUCUGGGUUCUCUAGUGUUGCACUGUAGCUUGGGCUGGGGCACCCCAU